rnacentral:rRNA from 1 species
UACGUAGGGUGCAAGCGUUGUCCGGAAUUAUUGGGCGUAAAGAGCUCGUAGGCGGUCUGUCGCGUCUGCUGUGAAAAUCCAGGGCUCAACCCUGGACCUGCAGUGGGUACGGGCAGACUAGAGUGCGGUAGGGGUGACUGGAAUUCCUGGUGUAGCGGUGGAAUGCGCAGAUAUCAGGAGGAACACCGAUGGCGAAGGCAGGUCACUGGGCCGCAACUGACGCUGAGGAGCGAAAGCAUGGGGAGCGAACAGG